GCCCUAGGAACAUUUUUGUUUUAUUAUUUGGAAAGAAAUCUAAUGGAUUUAAUACUUGCUUAGGUAGUAGGGACGAUUACAAUUAAAAAACUAAAAUGAGCAAUGAAACUAAAACUAAUUUUAAAAAUACAAAAACCAAGUCAAAUAUGGAGAUAAUUAGUAUAAGUAUAAUUUAAUUAACGAAAAAAUAAGUAUAGCCACCCUCCUAAUCUCAUCUAAUCUCAUUUAACUUAUUUUCUUAAAACAUUGAAAAGAAGAAGGUAUCAUUUCAUUUCUACAAUAGAUGGAUAAACCAAAAAUAUAAAUCAAAAUAAGAUUGAUUCAAUAGUAUUGUCUAACAUGACUUCCGUCUCUAGAGGUUGAAAGUUUCUAACUCACUCACGUCAUGUUUGCACUCCUAAUAUGUACUAAAAAACACUCCUAAUGGGUUUUUUUAAUAGACUAAAUACAGAUAAAUUUGAAUAACAAUAAAAUGAGCAUUUGAAUUUAGUAAUUGAGAGGUAGAGUAAAGAUUGUGAUUUGAUUUUAAAAGAAAUUUCAUGAGAGAUAAUGAAGGGUAACAGCUAGGAACCAUCCACGUGUACGGUGGAUAUUCAUCAAUUUGGUCUUCCAUGAGACUAUAUUAUAGAGAACCCAAAACACAAAAAUACUUCACAAUCACAUACUGCUUUGGAAAGAUUUUGAUCCCAAAACUUUGGAAACAAAAUGACUUCUGGUUGCAAGUGUGGUGAAAAUUGCUCGUGUGGAGAUAGUUGCAAUUGCCUCUUGGGGACCAUCAAGGGGGCCACCUCCCUAAUCAACAUGAAUCAUGGUUGCAGCUGCUGUGACAGUAGCUGCUCGUGCGACACAUGUGAUUGUUGUUGAUGAGCUCUUGCAGAGAUGAAUGAAGCCCUUAAACAACAAAGCUCUCUGAAAUGGAAUAAAAUUAUGUGACAAUAUCCAACAACAAAAAAAAUAAUUGUGUUUUUGGCUUCUUGUGUUUUUGCACUUUGUUUGAAAUCAGUGUGUGAAAGAACUAUGUAAUAGCUUUGUUGUGGGCUAUGUGUGGGUUGUUGUUUUAUAUAAUCAAAGUUGCUACAAAUAUGUGUUUGGAGUAUUGUGUGCAGUGAAAAUUUGGUUUAAUAAUGAGUAUUUAUGUCAA